rnacentral:rRNA from 1 species
CCUACGGGUGGCAGCAGUGAGGAAUAUUGGUCAAUGGGCGGAAGCCUGAACCAGCCAAGUAGCGUGCAGGAUGAAGGCCCUACGGGUUGUAAACUGCUUUUAUACGGGAAUAACGCGCCUUACGUGUAGGGCGUUGCAUGUACCGUAUGAAUAAGGAACGGCUAAUUCCGUGCCAGCAGCCGCGGUAAUACGGAAGGUCCGGGCGUUAUCCGGAGUUAUUGGGUUUAAAGGGAGCGUAGGCCGCAUGUCAAGCGUGCUGUGAAAUGGCCGGGCUCAACCCGGGCCUUGCAGCGCGAACUGGCGUGCUUGAGUCCGCGGAAAGCAGGCGGAAUUCGUCGUGUAGCGGUGAAAUGCUUAGAUAUGACGAAGAACCCCGAUUGCGAAGGCAGCUUGCUGCAGCGGAACUGACGCUGAUGCUCGAAAGCGCGGGUAUCGAACAGGAUUAGAUACCCCUGUAGUC